rnacentral:rRNA from 1 species
AGUGAUCCGGUGGUCCCGAAUGGAAGGGCCAUCGCUCAACGGAUAAAAGGUACUCUGGGGAUAACAGGCUGAUACCGCCCAAGAGUUCACAUCGACGGCGGUGUUUGGCACCUCGAUGUCGGCUCAUCUCAUCCUGGGGCUGUAGUCGGUCCCAAGGGUAUGGCUGUUCGCCAUUUAAAGAGGUACGUGAGCUGGGUUUAAAACGUCGUGAGACAGUUUGGUCCCUAUCUGCCGUGGGCGUAGGAAGUUUGAGGGGAGCUGCUC